rnacentral:tRNA from 1 species
CGGCGUGUGGCGCAGUCUGGUAGCGCACCUCGUUCGGGGAGGGGGUCGUAGGUUCAAAUCCUGCCGCGCCGACCA